GCGAGGCGGAGCAAAUCUCCAAAAGCCGUCCCAGUUCGGAUUGCAGGCUGCAACCCGCCUGCAUGAAGUUGGAAUCGCUAGUAAUCGCGGAUCAGCAUGCCGCGGUGAAUACGUUCCCGGGCCUUGUACACACCGCCCGUCACACCAUGAGAGUCGGGAACACCCGAAGUCCGUAGCCUAACCACAAGGGGGGCGCGGCCGAAGGUGGGUUCGAUAAUUGGGGUGAAGUCGUAACAAGGUACC
rnacentral:rRNA from 1 species